CAGCCGCCGCGGGAAAACGUAGGUGGCAGGCGUUGUCCGGAAUUAUUGGGCGUAAAGGGCUCGCAGGCGGUUUCUUAAGUCUGAUGUGGAAGCCCCCGGCUCAACCGGGGAGGGUCAUUGGAAACUGGGAAACUUGAGUGCAGAAGAGGAGAGUGGAAUUCCACGUGUAGCGGUGAAAUGCGUAGAGAUGUGGAGGAACACCAGUGGCGAAGGCGACUCUCUGGUCUGUAACUGACGCUGAGGAGCGAAAGCGUGGGGAGCGAACAGGAUUAGAUACCCGUGUAGUCCCUGUCUCUUAUAC
rnacentral:rRNA from 1 species